UAUAAUUAUAGCAAUUCUUAAAUGUUUGAAAAUUGUAAUGAAGUAAAAUUUCAUUUCCCUUUCUGCAAUACCAUCUCUAUCGAUCUCAUUUUUUCUUCUUCCUUAGGCCGUAGCAUCAGAAAUCGCGGUUCAAUUUUCUCAACCACACUUUUGCUUCGCCUAACCCUUAUACACCCCAACCACGAUUUAAUCUUCUUCCUCUCCUCCCUCACCUUCAAAAUUUUCUAUCACACUCCAUCUCCGAUACACACGACGACUCACAAAUCUCAUGCGUCACCUCCUUGCAGGUCGCUUGCAUUGCAUCUGGAAGUGCGCUAUUGGCGAGAGUCAAUUGACAAUUGAUCUCCUCCCUGAAGCUACUUGCAUAAAUGCUCUCAAUAGAGCACAACCCUAACUCACUAGUCAUUACCUCGCUCUUCCUCUCCUCCGUCGUCGAUGUCGAUGGAGCUCUGAAUCUGGACCUCACCGGGCUAGCUAGAUUGCUUGCGAGGUUCGAGAAGCUUCGCAAGUGUGGCUCAGGUGAAGCUUAGUCACGGAGAGGGGUUCGACUUGGGAAAUUCUUAUGUUUUCUUUAUUGCUUUUGGAAACAGUUGUAAACCCUGAUGGGUGUUUUUAUAACAUGGUUCUUUUAGUUUUUGGAACGGAUGGUUAUGAACUUAAUUUGCUCAUUUAAUAAAUUUUAAAUUUUUCCCGCAUUUUGGGAAAAUGGGGUAUUACUAAAUGUGUUGUUAUUUAAUUAUUUCUUUUAUUUUAUUUAUAAAUCCGUAAUAUCCUGACGGGAUGUUACAGAAUGUUGUAAAACGAGGAUGGGAUGCUCAAGUUCUUGGUGGAGCCUCUCAUAAGUUCAGACUUUUGCUUGCAAGUAAAAUGUCUUUGUUCAAAUCAUAAUAGGAUUUUCCAUAAUAUUGUAAUUUAUGGAAAUCCAUAAUAUUUCUAUCUGUUUAUUUUGUUAUUAAUGGUGAAUGAUGGAACUAUGUAAUACAUGAGAAUUAUGAAUUACUAACUUCCUUGCCAAAAUUGUAGGGUGAUGAAUGCAAGUACCCUUGUUCUCGUGUAAUCAAUCCGACAAAUUCAGGUAGCUCUAUCAAAACAUACUUUUUUUAUUCUUUGCAUUUUAAAUGAAAAUGGAGUUUUCUGAAUUGAAAAUUAAUUUGAAGCCUUUCCUCCUUUCUAGCUAUUUGUUAAAUGGUGUAGUGUCCUCGUUUAUACGUACUUCUUAAGUUAAUCAUUGUUGGUCUAUUUUGUUUUGGAUUCAGCAUUCAAGCUCUUUUUGAAUGCUUGGGUUUGUUAAAGACUUAUGUCCUUCCGUUGUACCUUAUAAGACUAAAGAAAAUUAGGAAAGGAAAUAAUACAUGAAUACCAAGUUCCUCACUAGCAAACAUACCUCACCUCUCUGUUAAGACAAAAUGUGCAGAAAAUAACUUUGGAGUUUAUGCACAAAUCUGGAAAUAAAUUAGUUGGAACGAAGUAUGGAGAAGAUAGUGGAAGUGGUUGAAGGCUUGAAGUUUGUGUAUAUGCGUAUUUACUUAUGUGAUGAUUGGUAAUUUCUUAGUUGGAACGUGGUUGAAGGCUUGAAGACUGCACAAGGAGCAAUAAAUUUAAUCUGCUUCAUGAUGCUUUUGGCAUAGUUAAUUUAAAUGAAGAACACGAGUCUUACAGCUAUAGGCCAGCCUGAAGUUUUCCGUUAUACUUUGAGAAGGACUUAAUGGAAUCAAAGAUGUUUAUGUUGAGUAAUUACUCACUCGAUUUGGUAAGGUUUUAUUAACUCUGUCUUAUUUUAUCCAAAAGGUCAAAUUGUCUUAAGUAGAUGAUUCUCAUCUAGUGUUUUAUUAGCUUAAAUAAUCUAUAUUGUUGUAGAUGUAACAAUACUUUAUUUGGAUUGUUUUCCCUUUUCAGUGGCGUUCUUGUUCUGUCUAUAAAUUGUUUUAAAAAUUAUUGAUGUGGUAUGAAAUUAUUGGAAAUUAUAAUAGGUGGCACUGACAAUAGGAAAGAUUUGUUAUGAAAUUCCAUCAAUAUUUGGUAGAUAUAUGCUUUGUUGUCCUCCUCCAUCCAAAAGAGGAAAUUUUUUAAUAAAGGGCUUGCUAGCAAGAUAAAACUUGAAUUUGUUAAAAUAAUCCUAGAAAAAUUAUGAGUAUACUUAAUACGAAGGUCCAAAUUGAUGCUCUAUCUAUAUGGUAUCCCUUUUUCGUUAUCUCGCUUCUUUAUCAAGCAUUAUUUACUAUAGGAUAAACUUCGAAAGUCACGAAAAUAUUCCUCAAAUAAGGAAUGAGAUUUAUGUUAUUUAGUGAGUUUGAUAUUUGGCUGUGUUGGCAUAACCCAUCUGAUAAAGUAUAACCUUGAUGAUCGAGGGAUCAUUCUUUCAGCUUGGAAUCCAUUUGAUCUUAAAUUGAUGGUACUCCCCCCUUGCCACAUGUUUGUGCAGGUCUGCAGCUAUAUUUGGGUUUAUCUUAGAAUAAUUAUCUCUUUCUCUCGUUUACCUUUCAUGAAGUUUUUUCAACAAAAAAAUUCCUGCAAUUGUACGUAUAAAAUGGGGAAUUGUCGUGUCAAAUGUAUCAGCAAUCUGCAACAAUUAUCUUACCAUUCACAGAAGUAGCAUUAGUAAUUGCGUACUAUGUUUAUCAUAAAAGCUAAGCUCAAUGAAUUAGUUGUUAUGUUUAUGUGCAACAACAUUUCAAAUUUUGUAAAAGAAAACUUAGUUCUUUACUGAACAUUUUUAGGAUUAGAGAUAAAUAUGUAAAGCUCAAGAAAAGUAUCCAUUUAAAGUUUCAGUUCUUUUUCUACCAUCAACAAUAUUGUGAACCAUGUGGUGCAAGAGUCAAAGAUCAACACAUAUGCCAACUUUAUAGAUGAUGUGGUUAAGCAUGUGCAGUUAUGGAAUGUUGCGUUUCAAAGUACUUCUCCUAGAUGGAUUCACUCUGUUUAUUUGGCUGCCAUUGUUGCAUACUAUGCCAGGGAGGUGGAGGCGGGGUUGAUGGAGUACAAGCCAGAUAUAAUCAUCAACGCCCAUCCCUUGAUGCAGCAUAUUCCAUUGUGGGUUUUGAAAUAUUGAUCAGAGGGCUGGACCAGGUACGAUAGCGGAAGCAUUGAUCAGAGGGCUUCCCAUAAUUCUCAACGACUAUAUCCCAAGACAGGAGAAAGGUAACGUGCCGUACGUGGUUGACAAUGGAGCUGGUGUGUUCACGCGUAGUCCUAAGGAAACAGCAAAAAUGGUGGCAGAAUGGUUCACCACGAAAUCAGAUGAGCUGAAAAGAAUGUCAGAGAAAACACAUAAAUUAGAACAUCCAGAGGCGGUGUUUGACAUCGUGAGGGACAUUGAUGAACUUGCUAGGCAACGAGAGCCAUCAAAUUUUCCAUACCUGUUGACCUCGUCGUUUACUAGCCUAAUUUAAUUCAUUAUUUGUGAUUCUUUCAUGGUAGCUUUCUUCCAUUUAGAAUUCACUUGUACAGUUAGCUCUAUUUAUUUAUAUCAUUCUUUAUCUAUGCUAAAAUUCAAUUGUAGUAAACAAGUAUGCUUGUGUGGUUGUGAGGAGAUGCUUUGCCCGUAA